GUGUGGGGGACAUUCCACGUUUUCCGCGCCGUAGCUAACGCAUUAAGUGCCCCGCCUGGGGAGUACGGCCGCAAGGCUAAAACUCAAAGGAAUUGACGGGGGCCCGCACAAGCGGCGGAGCAUGCGGAUUAAUUCGAUGCAACGCGAAGAACCUUACCAAGGCUUGACAUGAACCGGAAAGACCUGGAAACAGGUGCCCCGCUUGCGGUCGGUUUACAGGUGGUGCAUGGUUGUCGUCAGCUCGUGUCGUGAGAUGUUGGGUUAAGUCCCGCAACGAGCGCAACCCUCGUUCUAUGUUGCCAGCGCGUUAUGGCGGGGACUCAUAGGAGACUGCCGGGGUCAACUCGGAGGAAGGUGGGGACGACGUCAAAUCAUCAUGCCCCUUAUGUCUUGGGCUUCACGCAUGCUACAAUGGCCGGUACAAAGGGUUGCGAUACUGUGAGGUGGAGCUAAUCCCAAAAAGCCGGUCUCAGUUCGGAUUGGGGUCUGCAACUCGACCCCAUGAAGUCGGAGUCGCUAGUAAUCGCAGAUCAGCAACGCUGCGGUGAAUACGUUCCCGGGCCUUGUACACACCGCCCGUCAAGUCACGAAAGUUGGUAACACCCGAAGCCGGUGGCCUAACCCUUGUGGGGGGAGCCGUCGAAGGUGGGACCGGCGAUUGGGACUAAGUCGUAACAAGGUAGCCGUACCGGAAGGUGCGGCUGG
rnacentral:rRNA from 1 species